rnacentral:lncRNA from 1 species
GUUGAAUUCAGAGGAAAGGAUGUGUUGUUUCAGAUUGACGGAAUUGUUUUCUCUUCAAGGAGCUGUUUUGCUUUGCGGCAAUACAGCUGAGUAGCCAGUGGGCAUUCCAGACCUUCCUUGGCAGGUUUUGGCUUAAAUCUUUUAAAUAAUUCUUUACAGCUAACAUUGAUUUGGUGUCAAAACCUUACAUAUUCAAGAAACACUGUGAAUGCUAUUAAAGCCAGAAAAUGAUGAUUCAAAGCAGUUUGGAAAUUAUUUGAGCAUACAGAGUUCCCACCAGGGAUCAGAUCCGAGCUGCAGUUGUGACCUACACAGGACCGGAUCCUUAACCCACCGUGGGGGGGGUAUCAAACCUGUGUUCUAGUGCUGCAAAGUCACCGCCAAUCCUGUUGCACAACAGUGGGAACUCCAAGAAGCUGUACAUUCCUCCUCUGCCUCUGAGGCCAUGUAGCCUGCAUGAUCUAGAUGCUGCCAAUCAAAGAUGGUAGUGUCUUCAUUGACCUCAGUAGUUGCAUGAGAUGCAGGCUGCCUGGCCACCCCCCCCCCAACACUUUGGAGGCAUAAUAUGAGCAAGAAAUAUAUAUAUAUAUUUGUUGUUUUAAACCAUAAGUAUUAAUUUCUUCAUUUACUACCAUGUCACCUAUCUUAUCCUGAUAAUAAAGUUGCUUAGGCAAGAACUCACCAAAAAAGAGUCUUUGAGUCCCUGUCUAAAUGAGGUGAGGGUGUAAACAGAUUUUUCAUCUUCAGAUGUCAGCUUAAAACUGAUCCUUCUUCAAUAUUUGCAUAAUGCCACAAGAUCUUAAAGCUCCACAAAUACAGGGGCUGAAUUUGUUUUGUUUUGCUUUGUUUUAUUGAAUUUCCAGCAUAGUAGCAAUUUAAUACAUUUUUGAAAAAUGAAAUGAUGAAUAAACAAAUAAUAUCAAUGAAUGAAUGAAUCACACAAGAAAUUGCUGGGACACAAAGAAAGGUAACCAUGACUGUUGAACUAAGCGUUUUAUCUCCUUCUGGUCUCUCUUACUGUUUUUUAUCUUGUUCUUCAAAUAAAACUGAUAAUAGAUAUUUAGGUGGACUCUCCUGAUUGACAGUGAUGUUAAUUAUAAGAAACAUUUGACCAUAAGGGAAAGAGGAGUUAUAUUGGAACUGAGGGGCUGCUAAAUAUG